AAUCAACGCUGGCGGCGUGCCUAACACAUGCAAGUCGAACGCGAAAGCCCUUUCGGGGGUAAGUAGAGUGGCGUCCGGGUGAGUAACACGUGGGUAAUCUGCCUUCGGGUGGGGAAUAACCCAGGGAAACUUGGGCUAAUACCGCAUAAUGCAGCGGCACCUAAUGGUGAUUAGUUGUUAAAGCGGGGGAUCGCAAGACCUCGCGCCUGAAGAGGAGCCUGCGGCAGAUUAGCAGUUGGUGAGGUAAUGGCUCACCAAGGCUGCGAUCUGUAGCUGGUCUGAGAGGACGGCCAGCCACACUGGCACUGACACACGGGCCAGACUCCUACGGGAGGCAGCAGUGGGGAAUUUUGGGCAAUGGGCGAAAGCCUGACCCAGCAACGCCGCGUGAGGGAGGAAAUCCUUCGGGAUGUAAACCUCACAAGCAAGGAAGAGAGCUGCGGGCUGAAUAAUCCCGCAGUGCGACGGUACCUUGCGUAAGCCACGGCUAACUAC
rnacentral:rRNA from 1 species